GUGUGUGCAUGUGUGGAUGCGUGUGAAUGUGCAUGUGUGUGGAUGCGUGUGAGUGUGUGGAUGCGUGUGAGUGUGUGUGCAUGCGCAUGUGUGUGAAUGUGCAUGUGUGUGGAUGC
rnacentral:miRNA from 1 species